rnacentral:rRNA from 1 species
GACGAACGCUGGCGGCGUGCUUAACACAUGCAAGUCGAACGGAAAGGCCCUGCUUUUGUGGGGUGCUCGAGUGGCGAACGGGUGAGUAACACGUGAGUAACCUGCCCUUGACUUUGGGAUAACUUCAGGAAACUGGGGCUAAUACCGGAUAGGAGCUCCUGCUGCAUGGUGGGGGUUGGAAAGUUUCGGCGGUUGGGGAUGGACUCCCGGCUUAUCAGCUUGUUGGUGGGGUAGUGGCUUACCAAGGCUUUGACGGGUAGCCGGCCUGAGAGGGUGACCGGCCACAUUGGUACUGAGAUACGGCCCAGACUCCUACGGGAGACAGCAGUGGGGAAUAUUGCACAAUGGGCGGAAGCCUGAUGCAGCAACGCCGCGUGCGGGAUGACGGCCUUCGGGUUGUAAACCGCUUUCGCCUGAGACGAAGCGUGAGUGACGGUAAUGGGUAAAGAAGCACCGGCUAACUACGUG